rnacentral:lncRNA from 1 species
AUAUUCUAUUAAAACUUACCAUUCAUGUAGGUUAAACCACUGUAACGGAUCUCUGUUUUUAUGUCUUUUCUUCUUUGAAUUUUCCUUCCUACAUCAUUUAUCUUACAUAUACUCUCCUUCACCUAACUACUGAAGGGAUUUUUGUUGCAAACAAAUCUUUUUUUCCAUCAUUUAUCCUGCCUCAGGUACUCCUUUACAGCAAUGCAAAAACAGUCUAAUAUAACUUCCGAAGAAAUUGGAAGUUGGCCAGGCUCAACUACUUGGGAGGCUGAGGGAGGAGACUUGCUUGAA